AUUGAACGCUGGCGGCAGGCCUAACACAUGCAAGUCGAACGAGUGGCGGACGGGUGAGUAAUUUCUGGGAAACUGCCUGAUGGAGGGGGAUAACUACUGGAAACGGUAGCUAAUACCGCAUACCAUCAGAUCUGCACUUAUGGGAUUAGCUAGUUGGUGGGGUAACGGCUAACCAAGGCGACGAUACCUAGCUGGUCUGAGAGGAUGACCAGUCAGACUGGAACUGAGACACGGUCCAGACUCCUACGGGAGGCAGCAGGGGGGAAUAUUGCACAAGGGGCGCAAGCCUGAUGCAGCCAGGCCGCGUGUAUGAAGAAGGUCGUCGGGUUGUAAAGUACUUUCAGCGGGGAGGCGUUACCCGCAGAAGAAGCACCGGCUAACUCCGUGCCAGCGGCCGCGGUAAUAC
rnacentral:rRNA from 1 species